rnacentral:rRNA from 1 species
GAACGAACGCUGGCGGCAGGCUUAACACAUGCAAGUCGAACGGUUGUAGCGAAUACAGCAGUGGCAGACGGGUGAGUAACACGUGGGAACCUUCCUAGGGGUACGGAACAACUCAGGGAAACUUGAGCUAAUACCGUAUACGUCCGUGAGGAGAAAGUUUUUAACGCCCCUAGACGGCCCGCGUAGGAUUAGGUAGUUGGUGAGGUAACGGCUCACCAAGGCCUACGAUCCUUAGCUGAUCUGAGAGGAUGAUCAGCCACACUGGGACUGAGACACGGCCCAGACUCCUACGGGAGGCAGCAGUGGGAAUCUUGGACAAUGGGCGCAAGCCUGAUCCAGCCAUGCCGCGU